GCUGCUCUGAUAUAGAGAGCUGUUAAUGCUACAUCUAGUUAAAGUUACAUCUCAGCAAUGGUUCGGCUCUGCUCGUUACCUCUGCUGUGCCCUUUCGCUUUAUUGAGACAUUAAAUAGCGUUUGUUUUCAGUAACCGUAUCAGGCGAUAAAUUUUUUUAAUACUCUCAGAGGUUAUUAUGUCAAAUUCAGUGACAGGUACAGUUAAAUGGUUCAACGAAACUAAAGGUUUCGGUUUUAUUUCUCAAGACAACGGUGGCAAAGACGUAUUCGUACACUUCAGCUCAAUCGUUUCUGAAGGUUUCAAAACUCUGGCUGAAGGUCAGAAAGUAACUUUCACUGUUGAGGAAGGCCAGAAAGGUCCUCAAGCUAGCAACGUUGUUGUAGGCUAAUUACUCAAUUUAUGAUAAACGGCCGGGGUUGGUAACAACCCCGGCCGUUUG
rnacentral:sRNA from 1 species